UACAGGGGGUGCAAACGUUGCUCGGAAUCACUGGGCGUAAAGCGCACGUAGGCGGAUUGUUAAGUCAGGGGUGAAAUCCUGGAGCUCAACUCCAGAACUGCCUUUGAUACUGGCGAUCUCGAGUCCGGGAGAGGUGAGUGGAACUGCGAGUGUAGAGGUGAAAUUCGUAGAUAUUCGCAAGAACACCAGUGGCGAAGGCGGCUCACUGGCCCGGUACUGACGCUGAGGUGCGAAAGCGUGGGGAGCAAACAGG
rnacentral:rRNA from 1 species